UCUCUGGUGGUCCAUUUGUUAAGAUUCUGUACUUCCACUGCAGGAGGCAUAGGUUUGAUUCCUGGUCAGGGAA
rnacentral:tRNA from 1 species